rnacentral:rRNA from 1 species
CCUGCCUCAUAGUGGGGGAGUAGCCUUUCGAAAGGAAGAUUAAUACCGCAUAAGAUUGUAGUAUCGCAUGAUAUAGCAAUUAAAGGAGCAAUUCGCUAUAAGAUGGACCCGCGUCGCAUUAGCUAGUUGGUGAGGUAAUGGCUCACCAAGGCGACGAUGCGUAGCCGACCUGAGAGGGUGAUCGGCCACAUUGGGACUGAGACACGGCCCAGACUCCUACGGGAGGCAGCAUG